AGUGAACGCUGGCGGUAGGCCUAACACAUGCAAGUCGAACGGCAGCACAGUAAGAGCUUGCUCUUACGGGUGGCGAGUGGCGGACGGGUGAGGAAUACAUCGGAAUCUACUUUUUCGUGGGGGAUAACGUAGGGAAACUUACGCUAAUACCGCAUACGACCUACGGGUGAAAGCAGGGGAUCUUCGGACCUUGCGCGAUUGAAUGAGCCGAUGUCGGAUUAGCUAGUUGGCGGGGUAAAGGCCCACCAAGGCGACGAUCCGUAGCUGGUCUGAGAGGAUGAUCAGCCAAACUGGAACUGAGACACGGUCCAGACUCCUACGGGAGGCAGCAGUGGGGAAUAUUGGACAAUGGGCGCAAGCCUGAUCCAGCCAUACCGCGUGGGUGAAGAAGGCCUUCGGGUUGUAAAGCCCUUUUGUUGGGAAAGACAAGCAGCAGGUUAAUACCCCGCUGUUCUGACGGUACCCAAAGAAUAAGCACCGGCUAACUUCGUG
rnacentral:rRNA from 1 species